AGAAGUUGAUGUUUUAGAGAGUCAUCUCCUGUGUUGGACAAGAUGUCCGCUUCAACACGGGCCAACCAGAUCUUUGGGUAAGCAGAGAUGUUAUGACAAUAAAAACAGAUUACAUUUCGCAACGUUGAAGAGACCGUCCACGAUAAUGUCCACGCUAACACAGGCCUUGGUGGUGUCUGAUUCCCGUUAUCAUCUAUUGAUUUUAUAUGUUAAGUAUUUUAGUUACAUUUCAACGCCUCUGAUCGUUUUUUAUAUUAUUUUGCAAUUUCAAUAAAGUGACCAAGUGCCGAACCGUCCAUCGUCCGAUCAUCAAUACACAGUCAAUUUUCGUUAUUCAUUUUUUCCGUUCAGCUGUUCAGACGUGAGCCAGCGCUGUCAGGGAGCCGUCAGCAUAGCUACAGCUGUGGCGACAAACUGGUUUCAAACAGGAAGCAGGAGGUGUGAACGCGGAUCCAGACAAAAAAGAAGACAAACUGCGAACGGCGUCUCUCCGAAGAACGAAUGCCAAGUACAACAACACAACAAGAGGGAUUCCUGUCGCUUGGUGCGUGCGAAAGGGUCAGCCCAGAGCAGGGAUUUUACAGCGUUCCUGCGUCCUUUUUCCAUCAUGAGCCCUUAUCUUCUACCACAGAGGAACAGACGCCCUCCCAGGAAGACAUCUGAGGAAGGUUUCCCAGCUGAGCUGUAAACUAGGGGGGAAUAUCGUGGGUGUCUACUGUAAUAACUACGGAUGGGGAAAAAAAACGAUUGGGGGCUGAAACAUGUUCUCCCUUUCGGAACUGUUGAGAAAUGAGACGGCAAGGAGAGCUGUCAAAUGAUUAAACUCUGAUAAGGUCAAAUUCUGAAGCACCCGUUGGCAGCGUCCUGUGUGUGUGUGUCUGUGUGUGUGUGCCUGUGUGUGUGGGUGUGUGGGUGUGUGUGUGUGUGUGUGUCUUGACACGGGGCUGGUCUUUCCGUGCUGCAUUCCUGCUCCUCACGGAUCGAUCGUUGCCUAACUGUCAGGCGGGCUUUGUAAUUCCUCCCAUCACCAAAGACGGGAGAGGAUGGGAAACGGAAAAAAAGCAAAUACCAGCUCAAUGACAUUCCCGAGAUAGUCCUCCCGUGGGCAUUGUGUUCGACUGGAAAAAAAUGUCCUUUUUUUGUGUGAUGGGUUGUACACGGAAAAGUGCACGGAAAAGAAAUCUCAGUUUCCCUGUCACUGAGAGGGCUUAACGGGAAGACUUCCUACUCGGCAGUAAGAGAGCGUUUCCUAAGGCUGCAGGUAAAACCGUCUCUGGGCUUAAGUGGAAUUAGUGAGGCACGCCGAUGGAAAACGCUGCAUGCAUCAUGCGAGCCAGACAGGUAAACAGGAGUGGCGUGUCUUCUCAUGUCACCCACGGCGCUGGAGGCACUGAAAUGUGUCUCGCGCACGGACUUCAGGCGAAUAGGUGCCAAAAGUGCACGCUUUCGGCACCUUUCGAGGCACUCAGCGAGCCUUACUAGAGCCAUCCCGGGGUGAACCGGGGACCAGAAGUGGUGUAGCGGUGGUGUGAACACAUGUAUCAGGUGUCAUUUGAUUUGUGUGCUACGUCCUCAAAUGUGACCUUUUUAAAAGCCUUUUUUCCACGCUGGACGCCUUGGGCCCUGACUCUAUAAACAAGAAUCGUUAAAAUGCCCUCCAGGCACUUUUGAUUUACCCUCAAUUAUUAGUUUGACCACUUGAUGAAUUACCCCCAUUUAGUUAGCAUGACGCUGAAAAACGUUUAAUAACCAGACACACUACUACACACAAAUACACACAGCUACAGCAUGCCAUUUAUAUGGUAGGCAACCACAGUGGUCCCUCCCCAGCUGUGAGUUUGUGUAUGCGUCUCGUGUGUGUGAGUUAGUGUUUGCAUGCGUGUGUGUGUGUGUGUGUGUGUGUGUGUGUGUGUGUGUGUGUGUGUGUGUGUGUGUGUUUGUGUGUGUGUGUGUGUGUGUGUGUGUGUGUGUGUGUGUGUGUGUGUGUGUGUGUGUGUGUGUGUGUGUGUGUGUGUUGGUGUUUGUGUGUGCAUGUCUGUGCAUGCGUGUGUGUGUGUGUGUGUGUGUGUGUGUGUUUGUGUGUGUGUGUGUGUGUGUGUGUGUGUGUGUGUGUGUGUGUGUGUGUGUGUGUGUGUGUGUGUUUGUGUGUGUUUGUGUGUGUACGUGUAUGUAGAGGCCGGGGGGAAGGUCAUGGAAAGGCAAAGCCUCAUUAAGCUGUCUUCUAAAUAGUAAAGAUUCAAACUCUGUGUGUCCCUAAAACAACACCUACUGUGUUGCUGUGCACAUUUCAGGUCAAAGGGACUCAACCCCUCACUGAGUAUAAGUUAUAAAACAACAAAUACUAAUUUCACAGUGAUAAAGAGCACACUUUACCGUCACAUUAGUAGCAGCAUUUGGACCAAGAAGUUUCAUGUUAAGGAAAGAGAUGUCCACUGUUGCUUUAACAGAUAUCCUAUCAAUGGAAAAUAACUACAGAGCAAAAAAUUGCUUUUAGUGAAACUCAGAACGCAUAACCAAGUUUCACACGACUAGUAGGACUACUCAUCUUGACCAACACCUUCAUUAUACAGUGAUUUCACUACUGUGAAAGGUGUGAGCGAUAAACACACAACCCCUCCAUCCUAGAAGUGAACCCUGAUGUAAGAAGGAUUUAAACACUUAGGGUUCUACCACACAUGGAUGUAAAGCUGAACAGAAACAACCUAUAUGCAGAAGAGCAUGUAGUAUAGGAAUUGGCUUAUUGUGGAAAAUAACAUGUGGAUGAAGGAAAUAACACGAUGUAAAACGGGGACUAUAUCCCUCCACUGAGUGAAAUACUAUCAUACACCAAGAUGUGUUUAACAAAAUGCCAGUAGUUCAAGAGGAAUGGCCUUUAUAAAGAUUUGUUACAUCUCAGUGACAAAUAUGUGUUGAAAAGUGUGUGUGUGAGUGUGUGUGUGUGUGUGUGUGUGUGUAUGUGUGUGUGUGUGUGUGUGUGUGUGUGUGUGUGUGUGUGUGUGUGUGUGUGUGUGUGUGUGUGUGUGUGUGUGUGUGUGUGUGUGUG